rnacentral:rRNA from 1 species
GGCCGCAGUAUUUUGACUGUGCAAAGGUAGCAUAAUCAUUAGUCUUUUAAUUGAGGGCUAGUAUGAAUGGUUGGACGAGGUAAAUUCUGUCUUAUAUUAAUUGAUAAUUGAAUUUAGAUUUUGAGUAAAAAGACUUAAAUAAUUUUAAGGGACGAGAAGACCCUAUAGAGUUUAAUAAAUGUAGUUUUAAUUAAGUUUAAGUGUAAUUUUUGAUUAUUAUGAAAUUUAUUUAAUUGGGGUGAUUGGAAAAUAGGAUUAACUUUUCUUUAUAUUAAAUACUUUAAGUAGUAAUAUGAUCCACAUUUUGUGAUUAUAAGAUUAAAUUACCUUAGGGAUAACAGCAUAA